UACGGAGGAUGCGAGCGUUAUCCGGAUUUAUUGGGUUUAAAGGGUGCGUAGGCGGAUCGUUAAGUCAGUGGUCAAAUUGAGGGGCUCAACCCCUUCCCGCCAUUGAAACUGGCGAUCUUGAGUGGAAGAGAAGUAUGCGGAAUGCGCGGUGUAGCGGUGAAAUGCAUAGAUAUCACGCAGAACCCCGAUUGCGAAGGCAGCAUGCCGGCUUCCUACUGACGCUGAAGCACGAAAGCGUGGGGAUCGAACAGG
rnacentral:rRNA from 1 species